rnacentral:rRNA from 1 species
AUUGAACGCUGGCGGCAGGCUUAACACAUGCAAGUCGAACGAGUGGCGGACGGGUGAGUAAUGCUUGGGAAUCUAGCUUAUGGAGGGGGAUAACUACGGGAAACUGUAGCUAAUACCGCGUACCAUAGGAUGAGCCCAAGUGGGAUUAGGUAGUUGGUGGGGUAAAGGCUCACCAAGCCGACGAUCCCUAGCUGGUCUGAGAGGAUGACAGGACACACUGGGAUUGAGACACGGCACAGAGUACAACGGGAGGAAGCAGUGGGGAAUAUUGCGCAAUGGGGGCAACCUGACGCAGCCAUGCCGCGUGAAUGAAGAAGGCCUUCGGGUUGUAAAGUUCUUUCGGUGGCGAGGCGUUAACUACAGAAGAAGCACCGGCUAACUCCGUGCCAGGCGCCGCGGUAAUAG